AAGAAGGGUAAGUUAAUUAAACUAUUUGGUUCAUGCCCAGAAAAUACAAGGUUUUGUCCUUUCUU
rnacentral:tRNA from 1 species